AGUGAGGUCCAGGAGCUGACCUGUUUAUCUUCAAAUUCACACAAAGGUAGUGAAGAGGAGGGAGGAGAAAUACCACGCUUGACUGCAAAUACAGGGACUUUCUUUAAGGAAUAUACUGAAUUGUCCUGGUUGGUUCUUGACAUUUUGCGUUUUGUUAGUGAUCAGAAUGUACUUGCAUUGGAAGGAAACAGAGCUGGAAGGUAAUUCUAAAGGAAAGCCAAGGUAGAAACCACUGCUCCAGGAGAACAUAUAAAGGAACGCUGACACAACUUAUCCCUCUUGUAAUUAGCAGACUUUUCUCAGGGAUCUGCUCUACAAAGAAAUAUUUUGUACUAACCCAGGAAAGAUUAUCAACCAUCAACCAAAAUUGCUUUGGCUAUCUAGAGGUAUGAUGUAACUUACCUCCAGUGUGGUCUGAAAGAAUAUUUACUCACACAGGGACAAUCAAGGGUCGGGGAGGAUACAAGCUGAGUUAAGGGAAAGGGUGAAACCAUAUUCAUGGCUUGAAAUUUUAUUGUUGCUCAGAGAAGGGCUACAGUGGGAUUUCUUCAAAGAGUCUAAGAUAUGUGAGGUUUGGAGUUCUUUCCAGUGAGAGAGAACAGAAUUUGAGUGCUAACCCUGUUUUCUUGCCAGUCUCACAUGUGGAGGGGUAAAAAGAUAGGUGUAAUGGAACUAGACAACCUGUCAAAGAUCAAAAACCAAAUAUAAGGACUACAAAAAUAGAUUCUCCUGAGGAUUCUGUUUGUAUUAAGUUUUAUUUUCUAUGUAUGAACAGAAUGCUGUCCAGAGAGAUGAAGCUAUAGAUGAAUCAGUGUCUUCAUGUCCUGGUCAGUCAUAUCUUUAUGACCAACAUCCUUAGCGCAAACAUUAAGCUUCUCAUAGAUUAAAGACAAGAUGUACAAUGUUCAUGGAUUGGAAGGUUCAAAUUGUUAAGAGGUAGAUUUUUUCAAAAUAUCAAUAAAAUUUUAAUAGAUUUUUCUCUGGAAAUUGACAAGAAAAUUGUGACAUUGAGAUUAGAAUACAAGAGAGCUACAGAUUGGAAGGUCCACAUGAAGAUUGUUGCCAACGACAGAAAAGGAGAACUGGAGGGGAAGAAGGUGUGCUGUUGAUUCUCCUGGAGAAGCUUGUCAUACUGGCUUUCCUGAUAUGAACUCAGCUGUUCUCAUUGUUGGAGGAGCUCAGGUCCUUACUGUCUUCACUGUGGAUAGCUGUGAUUCUCUUUGGGGAGCUCUGGUCCUUACUUUGAUUGUCACUUCCUGGCUCAGCCUACAGGCAAGGAUUCUUCAUCCACCCUGUGCAGGCUUUCUAGCUUCCACCACCGAUGUUUGGAACUUCACAGUUCAAAUCCUUGAUACAGACUGGCAUGUGACAUUGUCAUGGGCUCUAGGCCUCCAGUUAGACUCAUGGAAGACAUUGCCAA